AUUGAACGCUGGCGGCAGGCUUAACACAUGCAAGUCGAACGAGUGGCGGACGGGUGAGUAAUGCUUGGGAAUCUGGCUUAUGGAGGGGGAUAACGACGGGAACCUGUCGCUCAUACCGCGUACCAACGGAUGAGCCCAAGUGGGAUUAGGUAGUUGGUGGGGGAAUUGCGCACCAAGCCUACGAUCUCUAUCUGGUCUGAGAGGAUGACCAGCACCACCGGGCUGGAGGCACUGCCCGGACUCCUACGGUUGUCAGCAGUGGGGAAUAUUGCGCAAUGGGGGCAACCUGACGCAGCCUUGCCGCGUGAAUGAAGAAGGCCUUCGGGUUGUAAAGUGCUUUCGGUGACGAGGCGUUAAUCACAGAAGAAGCACCGGCUAACUCCGUGCCAGCAGCCGCGGUAAUAC
rnacentral:rRNA from 1 species